rnacentral:rRNA from 1 species
UGGGGGAUAUUGCACAAUGGGCGAAAGCCUGAUGCAGCGACGCCGCGUGGGGGAUGAAGGCUUUCGGGUUGUAAACCUCUUUCGCUAUCGAACAAGGCCCGCUUAGGGUGGGUUGAGGGUAGGUGGAGAAGAAGCGCCGGCUAACUACGUGCCAGCAGCCGCGGUAACACGUAGGGCGCGAGCGUUGUCCGGAAUUACUGGGCGUAAAGGGCUUGUAGGCGGCCUGUUGCGCCUGCUGUGAAAACGCGGGGCUUAACUUCGAGCGAGCAGUGGGUACGGGCAGGAUUGAGUGUGGUAGGGGUGACUGGAAAACCAGGUGUAGCGGUGGAAUGCGCAGAUAUCUGGAGGAACAACGAUGGCAAAGACAGGUCACUGGGCCAUUACUAACGCUGAGGAGCGAAAGCAUGGGUAGCGAACAGG